rnacentral:rRNA from 1 species
CAGUCGAGCGAUGAAGUUUCUUCGGAAAUGGAUUAGCGGCGAACGGGUGAGGAACACGUGAAGAAUCUGCCCUCCACUUUGGGAUAACACCGGGAAACCGGUGCUAAUACCGAAUAUUGAAACAUAAGUGGCAUCACUGAGUUUUGAAAGAAUUUCGGUGGAGGAUGACUUCGCGGCCUAUCAGCUAGUUGGUGAGGUAAUGGCUCACCAAGGCAACGACGGGUAGCCGGCCUGAGAGGGCGACCGGCCACACUGGGACUGAGACACGGCCCAGACUCCUACGGGAGGCAGCAGUGGGGAAUAUUGGGCAAUGGAGGAAACUCUGACCCAGCGACGCCGCGUGCGGGAUGAAGGCCUUCGGGUUGUAAACCGCUUUCAGUAGGGAAGAAGCGAAAGUGACGGUACCUACAAAAGAAGCACCGGCUAACUAUGUGCCAGCAGCCGCGGUAAUACAUAGGGUGCAAGCGUUGUCCGGAAUUAUUGGGCGUAAAGAGCUCGUAGGUCGUUUGUUACGUCGGAUGUGAAAACCUGAGGCUCAACCUCAGGCCUGCAUUCGAUACGGGCAAACUAGAGUUUGGUAGGGGAGACUGGAAUUCCUGGUGUAGCGGUGGAAUGCGCAGAUAUCAGGAGGAACACCAAUGGCGAAGGCAGGUCUCUGGGCCAAUACUGACACUGAGGAGCGAAAGUCUGGGGAGCGAACAGGAUUAGAUACCCUGGUAGUCCAGACCGUAAACGGUGGGCACUAGUUGUGGGAACCUUCCACGGUUUCUGCGACGCAGCUAACGCAUUAAGUGCCCCGCCUGGGGAGUACGAUCGCAAGAUUAAAACUCAAAGGAAUUGACGGG